rnacentral:rRNA from 1 species
AUGAAGAGACUUGACCAAGAAAUAUCAGGAGUCCAGAUCUAUCUCAAUUGCAAGGAAACUAGGCAAAACCAAUGUCUGAUCUUCAUGAAACACUAUUCUAGUGAGAAAUGGAAAGUUGAAGCUGUAAAUUUUGAUUCUGUUUCGCACACAAAAGAAGAUACUGUGAAGUCAUACACCACAAACAUGUUAUCGUCAUCUCUGCAAAAAAAUUUAGCCAUCAUCGAGCAAAUGAUGAUUUCCAGACAUUCUCCACGAAUACACUUAUACAUUCAUCGGAAAAAUAAUGUAAAGAGUUUGGUGCAUAUUGUUGUUUCAAUACAAUCGAGAAAAAUGACAUAUUAUAAGCUACAUCAAAAGGAAGAGAACUCCUACACGAAAACAGUAGCUCUGCAAUCGAUUUGUUUUCUUUUUUGUACAUUGUAUCAUAGAUUCAAAUAG